rnacentral:snoRNA from 1 species
UUUCCAUGAUGAGAAACCUUUUCAUCCAGUUCUGCUACUGAACCCCCUGAUGACUACCAAAUUACCAAACCAAGAUCUCUGAUGA